rnacentral:rRNA from 1 species
CCCUUAGAUGUUCUGGGCCGCACACGUGCUACACUGAGUGGAUCAGCGGGUCAGGUUGCGCGAAAGUGUUUCCUAAUCUUGAAAUCCGCUCGUGAUGGGGAUUGACGGUUGCAAUUUUCCGUCAUGAACGAGGAAUACCUUGUAAGCGCGGGUCAUCAUCCCGCGCUGAAUACGUCCCUGCCCUUUGUACACACCGCCCGUCGCUCCUACCGAUUGAGUGGUCCGGUGAGGCUUUGGGAUCUGAGCAAAGAGAGCGUUUCGCUCGUUUUGCCCGGAAAACUCAGUCGAACCUUAUCAUUUAGAGGAAGGAGAAGUCGUAACA